AUUGAACGCUGGCGGCAUGCCUUACACAUGCAAGUCGAACGGCAGCACAGGGCGCUUGCUCCUGGGUGGCGAGCGGCGAACGGGUGAGUAAUGUAUCGGAACGUGCCCAGUAGUGGGGGAUAACUACUCGAAAGAGUGGCUAAUACCGCAUGAGAUCUCUGGAUGAAAGUGGGGGACCGCAAGGCCUCACGCUACUGGGGCGGCCGAUAUCAGAUCAGGUUGUUGGUGGGGUAAAGGCCUACCAAGCCUGCGAGCUGUAGCUGGUCUGAGUGGAAGACCAGGCACACUGGGACGGAGACACGGCCCAGACGCAUACGGGGGGCAGCAGUGCGGAAUUUUGGACAAGGGGAGAAAGCCUGAUCCGGCAAUGCCGCGUGCAGGAUGAAGGCCUUCGGGUUGUAAACUGCUUUUGUACGGAACGAAAAGGCUCUGGUUAAUACCUGGGGUCCAUGACGGUACCGUAAGAAUAAGCACCGGCUAACUACGUGCCAGCCGCCACAGUAAGAC
rnacentral:rRNA from 1 species